UGAGGAGUCUAGACAUGCUUUUGAAGCGC
rnacentral:piRNA from 1 species